rnacentral:rRNA from 1 species
AUUGAACGCUGGCGGCAUGCUUUACACAUGCAAGUCGAACGGUAACAGGCCGCAAGGUGCUGACGAGUGGCGAACGGGUGAGUAAUGCAUCGGAACGUGCCCAGUCGUGGGGGAUAACUGCUCGAAAGAGCAGCUAAUACCGCAUACGAUCUAUGGAUGAAAGCGGGGGACCGUAAGGCCUCGCGCGAUUGGAGCGGCCGAUGUCAGAUUAGGUAGUUGGUGGGGUAAAGGCUCACCAAGCCAACGAUCUGUAGCUGGUCUGAGAGGACGACCAGCCACACUGGGACUGAGGCACGGCCCAGACUCCUACGGGAGGCAGCAGUGGGGAAUUUUGGACAAUGGGGGCAACCCUGAUCCAGCAAUGCCGCGUGCAGGAAGGAGGCCUUCGGGUUGUAAACUGCUCUUGUACGGAACGAAACGGUCUGGGUUAAUACCCUGGGCUAAUGACGGUACCGUAAGAAUAAGCACCGGCUAACUACGUGCCAGCCGCCGCAGUAACAC